rnacentral:lncRNA from 1 species
CACUGGCCCCAGCGUCUCUGGCUGCAGCGUCUCCUGCGUCUCUGGCUGCAGCGACUCCUGUGUCUCUGGCUGCGGCGUCUCCUGCCUUAGCCUCAGCUCAGCCACGCCAAGCUCAAACUCCAGCUCCAGCUCAAACUCCAGCUCCAGCUCAAGCUCAAGCUCAAGCUCAAGCUCAAGCUCAAGCUCAAGCUCAAGCUCAAGCCUCGGCUCAGCCACGCCAAGCUCAAGCUCAAGCUCAAGCUCAAGCUCAAGCUCAAGCUCAAGCUCAAGCUCAAGCUCAAGCUCAAGCUCAAGCUCAAGCUCAAGCUCCGGCUCAAGCUCACGCCUCGACUUCGCCACGCCAAGCUCAAGCUCCAUCUUUAGCCAGCUAGUGGACACCCCUGGUCAGCCACACCAGGCCUCAGUUCCAGUUCCUGUCGGACAAGUAGAGGCCGUUCCUGUCCCUGUCGGCCAUGUUGCGGCCGUUCCAGUCCCUGUUCCUGUCGGCCAUGUUGCGGCCGUUCCAGUCCCAGUUCCUGAGGACGCCGUUCUAGUUCCUGUCGGCUCCUCGGAGGAGGACGCCGUUCUAGUUCCUGGUCCAGCUCUGUCUCCUGCCGCCCUCCCGGAGGAGGUGGUCGGCCCGCUCCUGGUCCCUGUGUUUUUUGGGCCAAUGUGUGCAGGUGCAGCUCCUGGUGGUCCAGCGCCGGCCGCGUUUGCAGCGAUUCCGGGUGAUCUGGCACAGAUCGCAUCUGCCUCAGCUCCUGGUGGUCCGGUCCCGGCCACGCUCGUCUCAGCUCCUGGUGGUCCGGUCCCUGCCACGCUCGUCUCAGCUCCUGGUGGUCCGGCCCCGGCCACACUCGUCUCAGCUCCUGGUGGCCCGGCUCCGGCCGCGCCUGCAUCGGUUCCUGGUGGCCCGGCUCCGGCCACGCCUGCAUCGGUUCCUGGUGGCCCUUCUCUGGUCCCGGCUCCGGCCUCGUCUCCACGUCUGCCCUCGUCUCUGGUCCCGGCUCCGGCCUCAUCUCCACGUCUGUCCUCGUCUCUGGUCCCGGCUCCAGCCUCGUCUCCACGCCUGCCCUCGUCUCUGGUCCCGGCCUCGUCUCCACAUGUGUCCCUGUCUCUGGUUCCUGC